CCUACGGGAGGCAGCAGUGAGGAAUAUUGGUCAAUGGACGCAAGUCUGAACCAGCCAUGCCGCGUGCAGGAAGACGGCUCUAUGGGUUGUAAACCGCUUUUGUACGAGGGUAAACGCAGAUACGCGUAUCUGUCUGAAAGUAUCGUACGAAUAAGGAUCGGCUAACUCCGUGCCAGCAGCCGCGGUAAUACGGAGGAUUCAAGCGUUAUCCGGAUUUAUUGGGUUUAAAGGGUGCGUAGGCGGUAGGAUAAGUUAGCGGUGAAAUUCCGAGGCUUAACUUCGGAAUUGCCUCUGAUACUGUCCGGCUAGAGAGUAGUUGCGGUAGGCGGAAUGUAUGGUGUAGCGGUGAAAUGCUUAGAGAUCAUACAGAACACCGAUUGCGAAGGCAGCAUACC
rnacentral:rRNA from 1 species